UUUCACUGCCAGCAUUACAUUAGCAUUCCUAAAAUUAAUAAAGAUUGCUAUAGCAGUUUAAAGUACCUUUAUUUUAGACAUGUAUGAUUUAACUCUAUAUACGUAAUGUGGGCAUUAUGCUCAAAUGCAGACAUUCUUUUUACAUUCUGUUGCAAAGUUUACUAAGCUGUACUGCUAAUAAUGUUUUCAGGAUCCUUACAUAUACU